rnacentral:rRNA from 1 species
UACGGAGGGGGCUAGCGUUGUUCGGAAUUACUGGGCGUAAAGCGCGCGUAGGCGGCUUUGUAAGUUAGAGGUGAAAGCCCGGAGCUCAACUCCGGAACUGCCUUUAAGACUGCAUCGCUAGAAUUGUGGAGAGGUGAGUGGAAUUCCGAGUGUAGAGGUGAAAUUCGUAGAUAUUCGCAAGAACACCAGUGGCGAAGGCGGCUCACUGGCCCGAUACUGACGCUGAGGCACGAAAGCGUGGGGAGCAAACAGG